UACUGGAGUGCUAGCUUGCUAGAACUUGAAAACAGGUGCUGCACGGCUGUCGUCAGCUCGUGUCGUGAGAUGUUGGUUAAGGUCCCGCAACGAGCGCAACCUCGUCGUUAGUUGCUAACAGUUAGGCUGAGAACUCUAACGAGACUGCCUUCGUAAGGAGGAGGAAGGUGAGGACGACGUCAAGUCAUCAUGGCCCUUACGGCCAGGGCUACACACGUGCUACAAUGGGGUGUACAGAAGGCUGCAAUAUCGCGAGAUGGAGCAAAUCUCAAAAACACCUCCCAGUUCGGAUUGUUCUCUGCAACUCGAGAACAUGAAGCUGGAAUCGCUAGUAAUCGUAGAUCAGCAUUGCUACGGUGAAUACGUUCCCGGGUCUU
rnacentral:rRNA from 1 species